GACGAACGCUGGCGGCGUGCUUAACACAUGCAAGUCGAGCGGAGCGGCGGACGGGUGAGUACUGCCUAGGAAUCUGCCCGGUAGUGGCGGAUCACGUACGGAAACGGGCGAUUAUAACGCAUACUUACAGAUCAGCCUAGGUCGGAUUAGCUAGUUGGUGGGGCAAAGGCUUACCAAGGCGACGAGCCGUAGCUGGUCUGAGAGGAUGAUCCGUCACACUGGAACUGAGACACGGUCCAGACUCCUACGGGAGGCAGCAGUGGGGAAUAUUGGACAAUGGGCGAAAGCCUGAUCCAGCCAAGCCGCGUGUGUGAAGAAGGUCUUCGGAUUGUAAAGCUCUUUGAGUUGGGAAGCGUUAUCAACACAAUAAGCACCGGCUAACUUCGUGCCAGCAGCCGCGGUAAUAC
rnacentral:rRNA from 1 species